AGAACGAACGCUGGCGGCGUGGAUAAGACAUGCAAGUCGAACGCGACUUAUUUUGUUAGCAAUAACAGAGUAAGUUGAGUGGCGAAAGGGUGCGUAACACGUGGGAAUUUACCAAGAAGUGGGGAAUAGCUCGACGAAAGUCGAAUUAAUACCGCAUGUGAUCGAAAGAUCAAAGUCGGGGACCGCAAGGCCUGACGCUUUUUGAGAAGCCCGCGGCCCAUCAGCUAGUUGGUGAGGUAAUGGCUCACCAAGGCUAUGACGGGUAGCUGGUCUGAGAGGACGACCAGCCACACUGGAACUGAGACACGGUCCAGACACCUACGGGUGGCAGCAGUCGAGAAUUUUUCACAAUGG
rnacentral:rRNA from 1 species